rnacentral:rRNA from 1 species
AAUCUUCCACAAUGGACGAAAGUCUGAUGGAGCAACGCCGCGUGAGCGAAGAAGGUUUUCGGAGCGUAAAGCUCUGUUGCGAGGGAAGAACAAGUACGGGAGUAACCGACAGUACCUUGACGGUACAUCGUCAGAAAGCCACGGCGAACUACGUGCCAGUAGACGCGCUAAUACGUAGGUGGCAAGCGUUGUCCGGAAUUCUUGGGCGUAAAGCGCGCGCAGGCGGUCCUUUAAGUCAGAUGUGAAAGCCCACGGCUCAACCGUGGAGGGUCAUUGGAAACUGGAGGACUUGAGUACAGAAGAGGAAAGCGGAAUUCCACGUGUAGCGGUGAGAUGCGUAGAGAUGUGGAGGAACGCCAGUGGCGAGGGCGGCUUUCUGGUCUGUAACUGACGCUGAGGCGCGAAAGCGUGGGGAGCAAACA